UUUGUGCAUUACAAAGUUCUGAUUGCUUAGGUAGAAAGUAUGGAAAGAUGGGUGUGUGAUAACAGGUUCUAUGUAAUUUGUCUGAACACCAUGAACAAUUUGGUGUUGUUCUUGAUGACUCUGGACUGGAAACCAUGCUCGAAAAGUUGAUGGAUGACUAUAUAUGUCCCAUGUCUAGAGUUUUCCCUCCUCGGGUGGGUGGAUUAACUCUGGAUUCUCACCAUGGUUCUGUGGUUGAAUACGGAGAGCAUAUGGAUAUCGAGCUUGGUAGGAAUUUUUUUAUUAUAACCACAUUCCGGGAUGAGCAGUUCUUUGUCAUGGUCGCCAUUGGUCAUGGUGCAAGAGCUACUAUUUCUGGGCACCAGGUCAACUUAGUUAUAUGGUGCAGAAGCACUUUUCAGUUCAGUUUUUCAAGAGCUCUAGAAACAUCCAAAUGAUUUUUCUGCUGGUGCGGAGAUUGUUGACGCGGGAAAAAAGAAAGGCAACGCCUGUCAGUUGCUGCUUCGAACUGGAAUCGCUGAAGAGGGAUGGUAUAUCGGCAUCUUGUCAUUAAUUCCUCUCAAGUUUUGCUUGUGAAGUUAUAUGAUAGCAGAAUUCUCACCCUUAAUAUAGUAGUGGCAAUUCUUUCUUUCCUCUUCUUUUUUUCAGUCCUUUUGCUAGGGUUUUGUUGGUGAUAUAUGAAGGGUGCAUGUUUUAUUUUUCUCUCUUUCCAGGUUGGAUAAAUAUGUCUAAUGCAAUGUUGUGUUUGUAGCUUUCAAAAUUGAAAUUUGUAGUAAUCUCUGGUGCGUUGCAAUCAUAUAAGAAGAAAAAUAUUAUAGUUGAAGCUCAAUGUUCUACCCAGUCACAUUCCUUUCCUUGCAAGAACUUUAUCAGAUAAUUCAACUAGGCUUUUAAGCAGAACUACAAUCAAUGACCAAGGCCUAGCUGUCAAUGUACAAAUAUCUAGAAACUUAAAGACUAUGGCAUGUGGUUCUAAUCCCCAUCUAAUUCUUCAUUCUGUACCACGGUCCAAGCUGUGCUUCAAAUAGGUACAGACACUCUCACCUGAUACAGAUGAACUUUCACCUGGCCUUUUUUGUUAUUGUCAUUGUGCUCUUUUGCUGCUGACUGCAAAAACACAGUUAGAUCUGCUCACUGGUAUACGCAGAUGGUGUGACAAUCUUUGGAGUCUGUUUAGCCCGUUUCAUAAAGU